rnacentral:tRNA from 1 species
CGAUAGCUCAGUCGGUAGAGCAAAGGACUGAAAAUCCUUGUGUCGGUGGUUCGAUUCCACUUC